GCGUUUCCCUUCCAUCCCGAUCCCCUGACAAAUCUGCCACAGACGGGCUCCCCCAGCCGUGCCACCGCUCCUGCCCUCCCCCGCCCGAUCCCCUCUCCCUCCCCCGCCCGAGGACACCGUGCCCUAGCCCCUCUCCCGUGCCGGAUCUCGUGUGGCGGCGGCGGAAAGAGGCCGGGAUCCAUCCCUGUAGCGAGGCCAUCCUCCAGGCGGCCAGGCGACGCGGGGCGAGAGGAUGACCGGACGCGGCGGUGCGCGGUGGGAGACCGGCCAGGCCUCCAUGUUCCGAUGGGCCGCUUGCCUGGCUGCCUCCAUCUGUUAGACAGACGAGCGCCCACCUCCAUGCUCUGACCCCUCUCCAUCGCGUUCCCCUCCGUCCCAGGUGGUAUUUGUAUUUUGAUGUGUGUAUUGCGUAGAUGAAUUGCUUGGUGACAUUGAGAUUGGCUUGUGCACACCACGUGUUUGAUAAAUUGUCCGUAAGAACUUUUGUGGAAUCUGUGGGUUUAUACCCCUUUGUAGUUUAGCACAAUAUGUUCUACUCUACUCCCAAUCGACAGAGCUUCUCAACAAUAAAUAAUUUCCCUCAACUUCUACACUUCCUGUUUGUUGUAGUGCAUCUUAGGAUUAUAUAUGUGCAGCUAGCUCAAUAUAGUUUACUUGGGGGACAGGAGAUACUAGAUGGAAUAUUCUUAUUUCAAACUGUGAUAUGAACUUACUAGAUAACCAUGACCAUGCUAUUACAUUUUAAAAUGAAUGAAAAUGUUGGCUUUUGUUAUACUUAUACUUGCAUGAGCAUGACUUAUGUCUUCUGUAUAUUUUUUUUCGAUAAAGGUUAUGCAACUUAGGCAUGAAAAGUUACAGCAAUGCCGUGUAAACCAUGCUUAUAUUAUAAUUAGUACCCCUUUUGCCGUUUUGGUAUUUUAGCACAUCACAGCGACCUACAUGUUCCUAUGACGUGAUCUUGCCGAGUGAAUUUUGUAUCAACUGCACCCUUCCUGAAUAGUAAGAAGAAUAAGGGAGGAGGAACUGAAUGGAAGAAAUGGUAGAAGAAUAAAGAAGUAAGCAGGGAGGGAGAUCACAGCCUCCAAGUCAACACAUCAAGGGGCUAAGUGACUCAUCGGUAUACUUAACAAGCUUGCAAGCUGAAUAGAAAUUCAAAGUGGUUCAGUGCAGUUUGUGUGAGAACAAUUUUUAAAGCUCUGUGCCAUCCAUCCGUCUUCUCUUCUGGCAAGGUUGGUCUGUGGAUGAGCAUGGGCGCUACGCCGGCUCCACGGACCUGAGGGCGCCGAAGCCGAUAGAGGUGGUCAAGGACUGGAACGGGGUCCCCCACGUCGUGCUCUGCUCGCCCAGGAGAGCGACCUCCUCUUCAAAACCACCGAGAACUGGAGUGGCCCGAGGAGUUCAUCAGGAAGUUCCGCGACAAGGAGUUCGACUUCCUGCGGAUGCGCACCUGCCUCAAGGCCCGCAGGCUCCGCCCCGCUGAGAACCUCGACGGCGCCCAGCUCCUCUUCUCCAUCCGCAGCCCCGGGUCAGAGCACUAAAGAAUUUCACCGCACAUCAAGAAGAUUUGGACGAGGCUACGGCUGACGCACGCAAAGGAGAAGAUGAAGCUGCAGUGUUUGCGCUUGCAGGAUAUAUGCCAUCUGCUGCUAAUGAAUUACAUGCAGAAAGUUUGCAAUAAUGCUACAGGGAAUCAAAUUUGCAGAGCAGUUUGGGUUAAGCCGUGUGAUUUUUGCAAUCAACUGCACCACUCUGUUUCCAGGUUUGGGUUAAGCCGUGUGAUUUUUGCAAUCAACUGCACCACUAUGUUUCCAGGCUUUGCAAACUGACAAUUUCGGCAUGGCUCAUGUAGGGAUGCUUUUCCAUGUAGCAAGGUAUUUUCUUUGCUUAACAAAUUUUCGUUUUCGCAUUGAGUACUGUCCUCGAUCUUGGCGUCCUGAUGCAAGUGUGUAAAAUAACUUGAUUUUCUUUUGCAUUGCUUGAACUAUUUGGAUGCAUCAGAACAGUGGGUAUAUAUUUUGAUCACAACUUGUAUCCUGAAAUUUAAUUUAUGCUUAUUGAAACAUUAUCUAGAUCCUGGUGUGGUCCAGUGAUGGCUUUCCAUCCUUGCAGGUUGAAUGUAAAGGUUCUGAUAGAGAUUCUCUAAAGUUAUAUAAAUAGAUAAAAUAUUAUGCUUGU